rnacentral:rRNA from 1 species
UACGUAGGGGGCAAGCGUUGUCCGGAAUCAUUGGGCGUAAAGAGCGCGUAGGCGGCCCAGUAAGUCCGCUCUGAAAGUCAGAGGCUCAACCUCUGAAUGCGGGUGGAUACUGCUGGGCUAGAGUCCGGAAGAGGCGAGUGGAAUUCCCGGUGUAGCAGUGAAAUGCGUAGAGAUCGGGAGGAACAUCUGUGGCGAAGGCGGCCAUCUGGACCAGCACUGACACUGAGGCACGAAAGCGUGGGGAGCAAACAGG